AACUACAACUUCUUAUAAGCAAAUUGCUUGCCAAAGAAAAAACACAAUUAACGUUUUUGACUCAUUAUUAUACCUUCCUCCAUUGAUCUCAGGUACAGCUUUUGCUUGACCAGCUUACCGCAACCUUUACUUAAGCUGUAACGGUCGGCUUUCUGCUCUGUAACUUUUUGUGCUUGCGAGGCUCACCGGGGGCGCCCUGUAGUAUAUCAUUAAGGGUAAAUAGAAUGUCUUCAAGAUAGCAUUUUAGAAAAUAUUACUUUUUAAGUUUUUGGGGGAAUAUCCUUUAA